rnacentral:rRNA from 1 species
GGGCCCGCACAAGCGGUGGAGCAUGUGGUUUAAUUCGAUGAUACGCGAGGAACCUUACCAGGGCUUAAAUGUAAGUUGCAUAAGUUAGAGAUAGCUUUUUCUUCGGACUACUUACAAGGUGCUGCAUGGUUGUCGUCAGCUCGUGCCGUGAGGUGUCAGGUUAAGUCCUAUAACGAGCGCAACCCCUGUUGUUAGUUGCCAUCGAGUAAUGUCGGGAACUCUAGCGAAACUGCCGGUGCAAACCGAGAGGAAGGUGGGGAUGACGUCAAAUCAUCACGGCCCUUACGUUCUGGCUACACACGUGCUACAAUGGUCGGUACAGAAAGCAGCCACUAUGCGAAUAGGAG